ACAGGAUAGCCUGCCCUGUGGGCUGGAGGGCCUCGGGCUAAGCCAACCUGCUUACAGAGUGAACCCCACCUGAGGGGAAUCAGGCAAUUCCCCUAAAGAGCAGAAGGUGACUGCAGUAAUAGAAUGAGAGCCAGGCUUAAGUGGUGAUAAAGCUCAGCUGGGAAAAGCUCUGGAGGCAGAGCUAGGCAGAAAGCCCAGGGAUUAUGGCCGCCCCUCCAGGCAGGAAGGCCUGGGAGAGACCUUGAUUAACCAGGGAAGAGAUGGAAUUACCAAGAGGAGACCUUAAAAAGCUGGCUAGGAAGUGGCCUAAAGAAAACUGAAGCUCAGGCUGUCAUCCAAAGCUGUCAAGGAAUCAAAUCUUCUCAGCAGAGCUUUUCCAGGUGCUCUGUCUACUGGAAGUCAACAUACAGACGGAUCCAGUGAUACAAUGGCUACAGCAGUCCCACUGAAUGCUGGUGUAGCUAUGGUUUUGAUCUGAUGCUCUUCCCCACACACCUACUGUGAGAAGUACUGAGGCUACUUUGUGAACUACGGAAGCUCCAGAAAAAAGCUCCGACACUGAUGAACCAUUCUGGAUGACAAAAUAAUCUGAUAGCCAGAGAAAAGCUACUCUACCCUACCAGUAAGGACAAGAAGAGGAACUCGUCACAAUGCACAGAAACACUGCUGUUCAGGACAGUCAAGAUGUAGACAAGGUUUGGUGAGGGGAAGAAUUUCCAACGUCAGCCAGUCAGAUUUCGGAAUGAUGAGAAGCAUGGGAGCUGAAGGCAUCACAGCAAGGCCCAUUGUAAUUUACCCAAUAUGUGAAAAAUUACAGUUCUAAUGGUAAGUAUUGUACUAAAUAUUGGCAGGACAUGAAUCUCUCUGUGAAGAUUUUAGAAAGUAUGAAAACAGCUACAGAUCGCAUUCUUCUUUGCCAAAUCUUAAAGUUUGUAAUCCUGCACUCCACUCUGGGACACCAUAUGGCAAAAGAAACAACACGUAGAACUUUUUUCUGUAGAACUGUAGUAGACACGAAUACCAAACAAUUUCACAAAACCACUAAAUAUUUGGCCAGCUUCUAGUCUACUGUAAUUUUAAAAAAAUGCUGAAGACAAAUGUUUAUGUUGAAGGGAAAAUGUCCUCAGGAUAGAGCUGACCUGUCAAUUAAUCAUUUCAGCUCUCCCGUAUAGCCCAUUCCAUAAUCUAUACUUCGUGAACAAUGACUACUGCACUAAUUAAGCCUUUCUAAAGCUUUGAAAGGCAUUUGAAUUGUGGGUGAGUGCUGCUUUGGCUCUUCUGGCAUGUAACAUGCAGAACGUCUGGCCAGUUAUCCUGACUUCUUUCGUAUAUGUUACCGAUCCAAAAUAAUUUCACCAGACACCUUUGAGUGAAAUCACAGGUUUGCCAAUUUCCAUUUCAUGUAUCUUUUCUACAAAACUGAAAAUUAUCGCUCAUGAGCAUUGAUGAUUUCUCCAAAGCCGAGUAUGGCAGAUAUGCUCAAUGUCCAAACUUUAACUUACUGGGACAAAAUAUUAGUAUUGAUAUUGAUUGUGACAAUAACAUCAAUGCUCCCUGAGUCGAAAUGGCCUAGAAAAACAAACAUGAUUUUAUUUGCACCUAGAAUGACAACUUAUUCAGCAGAGAUGCAAACUCUGGGUAUUUCUUGCUGGGAGGGGUGCUUUUAAACAAUUGAUGAUGUGCACAUCAUUAACAAUCCAUAUACAUCUGGUUGAAAAUGUAACCACACAGCUGUGAUGACA